AUUAUAAUUUUUUUCCCGUUUUGCCUCUAGUUUCUCUUAUAAUGUUCUGAAAAUUAUUUGUUGCAAAAUAAUGUGUCAUGUUCAUGUGCGUAGGAGUUAGAUUUGAGAUAAUGUUCUGAAAAUAACUUGGUUAAUGUUUGAAAUCUUGUUUAUAUUAGGUCUUAUUUUUCUAGCUAGGUUACUAUUAUGCUUGUAAUUUUAUUUUUCUAAAUAAUUAGAUUAUUAUCAUGCUAUCGCAGCAAGUUUGGAC
rnacentral:lncRNA from 1 species